ACGACUCUCGACAACGGAUAUCUCGACUCUUGCAUCAAUGAAGAAUGUAGCGAAAUGCAAUACCUAGUGUGAAUUACAAAAUCCCAUGAACCGUCGAGUCUUUAAAUGCAAGUUGUGCCUGAGGCCACCCGGCCGAGGGCACGCUUUCCUGGGCAUCACGC
rnacentral:rRNA from 1 species